UAUGUCCUCUUCGUGGUGACUUUUCCUCAAAACAUGCAACAGGGUUCAGGAUCAAAGACCCAAGUCACUUGGGAAGAUCAGCAGAAUAUUAACAAGUUCAGUAAACUUAAUAAUCGAUUUCAUGAGCUUGAAGAUGAGAUUAAAUUCGCCAAGUUGAUGUAAUUCGAAUGCGUGAGAAGAUGAGGGUGCACCUGUCAGUGCCGAGCUCAUUGAAGUAAGGAACUUGGAUUUUGAUCUAGGGUUUGAAAGAUUAGUCACUUUU